GCAGUCGUACGCUUCUUUUUCCACCGGAGCUUGCUCCACCGGAAAAAGAAGAGUGGCGAACGGGUGAGUAACACGUGGGUAACCUGCCCAUCAGAAGGGGAUAACACUUGGAAACAGGUGCUAAUACCGUAUAACAAUCGAAACCGCAUGGUUUUGAUUUGAAAGGCGCUUUCGGGUGUCGCUGAUGGAUGGACCCGCGGUGCAUUAGCUAGUUGGUGAGGUAACGGCUCACCAAGGCCACGAUGCAUAGCCGACCUGAGAGGGUGAUCGGCCACAUUGGGACUGAGACACGGCCCAAACUCCUACGGGAGGCAGCAGUAGGGAAUCUUCGGCAAUGGACGAAAGUCUGACCGAGCAACGCCGCGUGAGUGAAGAAGGUUUUCGGAUCGUAAAACUCUGUUGUUAGAGAAGAACAAGGAUGAGAGUAACUGUUCAUCCCUUGACGGUAUCUAACCAGAAAGCCACGGCUAACUACGUGCCAGCAGCCGCGGUAAUACGUAGGUGGCAAGCGUUGUCCGGAUUUAUUGGGCGUAAAGCGAGCGCAGGCGGUUUCUUAAGUCUGAUGUGAAAGCCCCCGGCUCAACCGGGGAGGGUCAUUGGAAACUGGGAGACUUGAGUGCAGAAGAGGAGAGUGGAAUUCCAUGUGUAGCGGUGAAAUGCGUAGAUAUAUGGAGGAACACCAGUGGCGAAGGCGGCUCUCUGGUCUGUAACUGACGCUGAGGCUCGAAAGCGUGGGGAGCAAACAGGAUUAGAUACCCUGGUAGUCCACGCCGUAAACGAUGAGUGCUAAGUGUUGGAGGGUUUCCGCCCUUCAGUGCUGCAGCUAACGCAUUAAGCACUCCGCCUGGGGAGUACGACCGCAAGGUUGAAACUCAAAGGAAUUGACGGGGGCCCGCACAAGCGGUGGAGCAUGUGGUUUAAUUCGAAGCAACGCGAAGAACCUUACCAGGUCUUGACAUCCUUUGACCACUCUAGAGAUAGAGCUUCCCCUUCGGGGGCAAAGUGACAGGUGGUGCAUGGUUGUCGUCAGCUCGUGUCCUGAGAUGUUGGGUUAAGUCCCGCAACGAGCGCAACCCUUAUUGUUAGUUGCCAUCAUUCAGUUGGGCACUCUAGCAAGACUGCCGGUGACAAACC
rnacentral:rRNA from 1 species